rnacentral:lncRNA from 1 species
UUACAAUUCAGUUUUUCUUUCUUGGGAGCGACUCCUUCGUCUGCUCUUGCCUUCCCGAGAGCAACUCCUAGGUUUGCUCAUGUUUUGACCAGAACUGUCUAGAUGAGGUGUCCUGGAUCGACUCCGAUGUCUGGGCUUCUUCGAUGAAACCUCCUGCUCUCCGGCCAUUUUGGCCAUCUGUUCUUCCAAUUCAAUUUGCUGAAGGUGUAGAGCCUCAAUGGCGUCUUUGUUAUGCUGCAUCUUCUUUAAUAAGAUUAACUGACAUUGGUCCUGACUGUCCUCUACCUGAUCCUUUCUUCGCCUUCCAUGCGCUCGGGACUGAUUGUCCUCGACACGACUGAGGGGAUCUGGUGUAUGUUGACUAGCCGAAAAUAAUCGCUGUGGUGACGUAACAUGUUCAGAAUUACCUUCCUAGUUUUUCGGCCCCAACCUAUCAUUGACAGACCCUCUCACUUGGGUGGUAUGAUGAGUUUUUUGACUUUUCCUGGUUUGUAGCCUCACUGUCCCUGUUCGCCAUAGCUUUCAACCGAAAAAAUUCAGAGUGAUUGUAAAAGCACUAAAAAACCCUCCUUCUAGCGCCAAUGUUAACGCCAACUCGUCUGCGCGUCCAAUCACCAAAUUCACGUGCUUAAACCUGCACAGUAACAAAAUCACACAUUAAGCUUGAUGGCUUAGGCCGUCGGGUGAUAGCUCCGAUGUGAGAAUGAGUACAGGCUGAACAAGGUUUAACAAUGGAGGUUUUAGUAUUUAGUGCUCAAAAAUACGUAUUACCUGAUAAUUGAAGUUUAGCCUUGUAUUUAUAGUUGAUCUCAUCACCUUAGAACUGAUUCCUGAAUUGUAUUAGGACUCAUAAACAUGGUAGUUACCUAUGUUUGGGUCACACUCAAUCUCCUUAAAAGGAAGAAGUUGAAUAUAAU